GACAGAGGCCUCAAGCGUUAGGCGGAAUCACUGGGCUUAAAGCGUGUGUAGGCGGAUCGUUAAGUGUCUUGUGAAAUCCCACGGCUCACCCUGUGGAACUGCUGGGCAUACUGGCAAUUCUUGGGCCAACUAGGGGCAACUGGAACAAGCGGUGGAGCGGUGAAAUGCGUAGGAUAUCGCUUGGAACGCCAAAGGUGAAAACAGGUUGCUGGGGUUGUGCCGACGCUGAG
rnacentral:rRNA from 1 species